GACGAACGCUGGCGGCGUGCUUAACACAUGCAAGUCGAGCGGAGCGGCGAACGGGUGAGUAACGCGUGAGUAACUGCCCCCCUCUCUGGGAUAACAGUUGGAAACGGCUGCUAAUACCGGAUAGCGGGGGAUGACUCGCGUCCUAUCAGCUUGUUGGUGGGGUAGUGGCCUACCAAGGCGACGACGGGUAGCCGGCCUGAGAGGGUGACCGGCGAAAGUGGGCUGAAAUACGGCCCAGACGAGUACGCGAGGCGGCAGUGGGGGAUAUUGCACAAUGGGCGAAAGCCUGAUGCAGCGACGCCGCGGGGGGGAUGAAGGCUUUCGGGUUGUAAGCCUCUUUCGCUAUCGAAAGGGUAGUGGCAGAAGAAGCACCGGCUAACUACGUGCCAGCAGCCGCGGUAAUUC
rnacentral:rRNA from 1 species